rnacentral:rRNA from 1 species
AACGCAAUAAGUAUCCCGCCUGGGGAGUACGGCCGCAAGGCUGAAACUCAAAGGAAUUGACGGGGACCCGCACAAGCAGCGGAGCAUGUGGUUUAAUUCGAAGCAACGCGAAGAACCUUACCAAGGCUUGACAUCCCUUGACCGCCAUGGAAACAUGGCUUCCCUUCGGGGCAAGGAGACAGGUGGUGCAUGGUUGUCGUCAGCUCGUGUCGUGAGAUGUUGGGUUAAGUCCCGCAACGAGCGCAACCCUUAUCAUUAGUUGCCAGCACUUCGGGUGGGAACUCUAAUGAGACUGCCGGGGAUAACUCGGAGGAAGGUGGGGACGACGUCAAAUCAUCAUGCCCCUUAUGUCUUGGGCUACACACGUGCUACAAUGGCCGGUACAGAGGGCUGCGAAACCGUGAGGUGGAGCGAAUCCCAAAAAGCCGGUCUCA